rnacentral:rRNA from 1 species
UACGGAGGGUGCGAGCGUUGUCCGGAAUCACUGGGCGUAAAGGGCGCGUAGGCGGCGCGGAUAGUCGGCGGUGAAAGCCCGGAGCUCAACUCCGGGUCGGCCGUCGAUACUUCCGGGCUUGAGCACUGUAGAGGCAGAUGGAAUUCCGGGUGUAGCGGUGGAAUGCGUAGAGAUCCGGAAGAACACCGGUGGCGAAGGCGGACUGCUGGGCAGUUGCUGACGCUGAUGCGCGAAAGCGUGGGGAGCAAACAGG